GGAGCUCAAAGAUCAUCGAUGGUGACCACCGUAGAUUAUUCUCUGGAAUCGUAUUGGAUAAGUAGCUUUUGGAGCAGUCAGGUGGCGAUCUGGUUGCUCAUUGUGUAAUAGAUGUUUAAUCUUCAGUGCAAACAGUAGAGAUUAAACAAAAUGGUUUAAUUCUCAAUAAAGGCAUAAUGAAGGCUAUAAACAGUUUAUGUUUGACUUUUCAGUUGCUCAGCUUGGCUUUCACACAGCCUUAAAGAAUUAUGUUUUGUGCAUGACUGAUGCAGCUCACAGUCAGAACCCGAUGAAUUAAUGGAUUUCAGUGAAACUGAGGAAAACAGAGAUGAUAGAAUAUAUCAUGUAGUCGAGCUCAGAAACUGACACUGAAGGGGCCAUUUGUUUUAAGCUCUGAACCCGAAAGCUACAACUAGUGCUGGAGAAGAUGAGCUCUGCACAGCAGCUACUUUUCUUCUGUUUUCUCAGCUUCACACGGAGGGUAUGGAGCACAAAUGUGAACCAGACCCCUUCGGAACAUAUCACACGUGAGGGUGGAGAGCUCAAGAUCUCCUGCUCUCACAACAACAACAACUUUGACUACAUGUACUGGUAUCGCCAGCGCCUGGGGAAAAGUUUAGAGCUUAUCGCUUAUAUUCUUACCAGCAGUCCACCACAGUUUGAGAAGGACUUCAAAAAAGAGGAGGCCAGAUGUGACAUUAAAAAGCCUGAAACACUCUCGGGCUCAUUUAAGAUGAGUGCACUGAGAGCGGAGGACACAGCUGUGUAUUUCUGCGCCACAAGUCAACACGGUGGCCCAUUACACUGCGACUCGUUCGCAAAAACUUCCCCGGUGUGGGGCACCCCAGGGCUGCUAGCUGGAAGUGGGGGGUUGGUGGAUGGCGAGUCGUAACAGUGGUCAUUCUGAACCUUUUCUGUCCCUUUCUACAGUAUCCGUUCAUCACCAAAACAAUGAAAGUGAUUAGAUGUUUCACACUUUACUUCAUAUUUCCCACAAGUUCUGCCUAAGACUCUAAAGAUACAUAUUUUUUAAUUUUAUAACUUGAAAUUUUUACAAAAGCUUAGCAGAAUCUUUAGUCACGUGUAUUUAACUUACAUGUCCUUGUUUUGCUGCUCUUCAGUCUCCUUAGCCAUGUAAUUCAAAUAAUAAUGAAUCUUGUUACUAAAAUAUAUUUUACACACAUCUGGAAUGAAUGGAAGUGCUAAAGUAUGUUAGGAAGGGUCAGAAAAUAUUUCUAGCCAUAAACAAAAGUGAGCUCUGUAGAACAGAGUAAACUAUAUCAGAAAAUCUUCAUUACUUUAACAAAUUAAAAUAAGAAUUGAAAAUGUAAAAACCUGUAGAAGUCAGGUGAAUUUGCUCUCAUUUCUGUUUUUCUCAUUUCUCUCAAACUUAUACCUGCUUUCCAUGUUGUGGGACAAAUAAGAUUGCUCAUUUAUGCAGUUAGGAGAAGAGGAUGAGAAAUUAAAUGUAAGUUGCACAACAGAUCCUUAUAUUCAAAGGAAGUAUUGCAGAAAAGAGAACCGUUGCCAUGCAAUCAAAGGAUCUGGGUUCAAAUGUACUCCCCUUAAACCCCCAUCAAGGAACGCACUGUGAACUGAGAGUAAAAAUUACCCAGCUGUAUAAGUGACUAAAUCGUAUGUAGCUUAAUUCUCAGACAUUGGAAAACUGUUUUUAGAUAAUCAUCAGUUAACGGAAUAAAUGUGCUUUUGUAAAGAGCUGAAAUAUCCUG
rnacentral:lncRNA from 1 species